CUCGGCGCCCCGCGCUGGCGGUGCUUUCUGGAUUAAUCCUGAACAAGAAGUGGAAUUACUGAAUGAAAGCCCAGGAAGCGAUAUGACAUCCUUCAGUCCGGAAGUCCUUCUGACAUGGCGGUAUUCCGGAGAAGUGGCACCAAGUUCUUCCAGUCUGAGUAAGAGCCGACGUCCCGCUUCGCUCACUGGUACUGGAUCUUGCCCCAGAACCGUUGCAUU